GACUGCUCAGGUGCAUUGGUCUAUGUCGGAAAAAACCUUCGUGGUUCAACUGAUAAACGAUCGGUACGACGAGUUAUAUUGUCGAUUUAAAGGUGCCACACAAGGUGGCAAAAAAAGGAACAAACCUGGCAAGAGGUUGCUGAUACCUUCAAUUGCUCCAGUGUCGCACAAUGUUCUAGGACAGUGCGUCAAAUAAAAGACAUGUAUGCGCAGUUGAAAUGUCGAGCCAAAAAAAAAAAGAUUCUGACAGAAAAGAAACUGGAGGGGGGCCUCCAGCUGUAUUAACCACCGUGGAAGACCUGGUCAUAGAUGGCAUCCGCGACAAGCCACAGCUGAUUGGCAUUCCGAGUGGCAUUGAUUCAGGUGAUUGUUAUGCAUGUAUAAUGAUCUUUUUAAUUUAUUUUUCACUGUUGCAUUUUCUUUCAAAUUUGUAACAUGCAAUGAAUAUGAAUGGAAUAUUUAGAACUGCAACCGACCUGCAAUAUACGUUACCAGAUUAUUUUGGAAACAUUAAACAAUGAACCAUACACAAUGGCUCUGCUUCAAUAUAUUUGUCUUGUUUAAUAUUUAACCAUUAUAUACAUAUCUGGCAAUAAUAAUUUGUGGAAUGUUAAUUGGUUUUAUUUUGCGAUGUUUGUGAUUCGAAAAAUGGUGAAGGGGCAUUAAUAGUAACAUCUGUAUGUCUGGCCGUCUGUCUAAAGUUGUGACCGGUGCCAAUUAGUGGUGCAUCAUUGUCUCAUGGACACAUUUCUUGUU